rnacentral:tRNA from 1 species
CCCUCGGUCGUCUAGUUGGUUUAUGGCGUCCGGCUGUAAAUGAUGAUGGAACCGGAAUGUCGCGCGUUCGACUCGCGCCUGAGGGA